AACGAACGCUGGCGGCAGGCUUAACACAUGCAAGUCGAACGCCCCGCAAGGGGAGUGGCAGACGGGUGAGUAACGCGUGGGAACAUACCCUUUCCUGCGGAAUAGCUCUGGGAAACUGGAAUUAAUACCGCAUACGCCCUACGGGGGCAAGAUUUAUCGGGGAAGGAUUGGCCCGCGUUGGAUUAGCUAGUUGGUGGGGUAAAGGCCUACCAAGGCGACGAUCCAUAGCUGGUCUGAGAGGAUGAUCAGCCACAUUGGGACUGAGACACGGCCUAAACUCCUACGGGAGGCAGCAGUGGGGAAUAUUGGACAAUGGGCGCAAGCCUGAUCCAGCCAUGCCGCGUGAGUGAUGAAGGCCUUAGGGUUGUAAAGCUCUUUCACCGAUGAAGAUAAUGACGGUAGUCGGAGAAGAAGCCCUGGCUAACUCCGUGCCAGCAGCCGCGGUAACAC
rnacentral:rRNA from 1 species